UACGUAGGGGGCGAGCGUUGUUCGGAAUUACUGGGCGUAAAGGGCGCGCAGGCGGCCUUUGAAGUCAGGCGUGAAAGCCCCGGGCUCAACCUGGGAGGUGCGCUUGAUACUCGAGGGCUUGAGUGCGGGAGAGGAGAGUGGAAUUCCCAGUGUAGAGGUGAAAUUCGUAGAUAUUGGGAAGAACACCGGUGGCGAAGGCGGCUCUCUGGACCGUAACUGACGCUGAUGCACGAAAGCUAGGGGAGCAAACAGG
rnacentral:rRNA from 1 species